rnacentral:rRNA from 1 species
GACGAACGCUGGCGGCGUGCCUAAUACAUGCAAGUCGAACGCAGUGGGGACGGGUGAGUAACACGUGGGUAACCUCCCAUCAGAGGGGAUAACACUUGGAAACAGGUGCUAAACCGAUACUGAUGGAUGGACCCGCGGUGCAUUAGCUAGUUGGUGAGGUAACGGCUCACCAAGGCCACGAUGCAUAGCCGACUUGAGAGGGCAGACGUGCACCCUGGGACUGAGACAGGGCCCAGACUCCUCGGGGAGGCAGCAGUAGGGAAUCUUCGGCAAUGGACGAAAGUCUGACAGAGUAACGCGGCGUGAGUGAAGAAGGUUUUCGGAUCGUAAAACUCAGUUGUUAGAGAAGCGGUAUCUAACCAGAAAGCAACGGCUAACUACGUGCCAGCAGGCGCGGUAAUAC